rnacentral:rRNA from 1 species
UAGGGAAUCUUCCGCAAUGGGCGAAAGCCUGACGGAGCAACGCCGCGUGAGUGAUGAAGGUCUUCGGAUCGUAAAACUCUGUUAUUAGGGAAGAACAAAUGUGUAAGUAACUAUGCACGUCUUGACGGUACCUAAUCAGAAAGCCACGGCUAACUACGUGCCAGCAGCCGCGGUAAUACGUAGGUGGCAAGCGUUAUCCGGAAUUAUUGGGCGUAAAGCGCGCGUAGGCGGUUCUUUAAGUCUGAUGUGAAAGCCCGCGGCUCAACCGUGGGGGGUCAUUGGAAACUUGAAAACUUCAUUGCAGAAGAGGAAAGUGGGAUUCCAUGUGUAGCGGUGAAAUGCGCGGAGAUAUGGAGGAUCACCAGUUGCGAAUGCGUCUGUCUGGUAAGUAACUGACGCUGAUGUGCGAAAGCGUGGGGUUCAAACAGG